UUUAUUAUUUCCUUACUAUAAAAGGAAAACAGUUCUUCCAGUUCUUAUUCUGCAGACGGUAAAAAUUUUCCAUCCAUAGUUUCCUGCAGUGCUGUAUACUUGUAACACUUCACCAUCUUGUCAUCAGCAUCCCAGUAAUAAUAUUAUUAUAGACUCAAAACUCCGAGUAGUGCACCAUAAUCUACAAGUCAAUGCCAUUCAUUGGCUGACUGAGAGCUUUUGCCAAUGUCUUCUUGUGGCAGAUGGCUGGAAGAUGAUAAAGUCAAAGUUCAUCUUCUCUGUAUGAAACAAGCUAAAAACUACUGCAGGUUUAAUAUUUUGUGGUGGUUAGAAGAGUUAUUGAUGAAUGUCCUGAGAGCACUUGUUCUCUUUGCUUUAGAGAGUUCAACACCAAAAGCCUCACAUGCUCUGACACACUUCAUGUGGCUGAGGACCCUCACUUCUCCGCGUUAAACUCCUGGUUUCAGCACAAGCUAGAACCCUAGAAAAGCUUCUGAAGGAUUCUCCCACCUUUUCUUCAUCUUGGUCUUCUUUUCACACAGCUUUCAAGUAAAGAUAUGUCGCUGGCCCAAAGUUCAAUUAAGAUGUGGCAACUUGAUGAAGCAUAGUUCACUGAGUGUUGGUAAGUUGGGGGAAGCUUUCUGGCAUUGGGUCGUCCAAGACGAGAUCGAAGUGCCCCGCAAAACAAUCAGUCAUGUUGCUCUGCUCCAACUGAAAUAAGAUUCAGCAGAGAGCGAAUUUAAUGUGUCUCUCCUGAGUUCUUGCCCUCUUGAUGUGGCUACUUGGUGAAGCAUUAGUUCACUGAAUGUUUGAAACCUCGGGGGGAAGCUUUCUGACAUCAGAUGAUAGAAGACAAAUCGAAGUGCCCUGCAAAACAAUCAUAGACAUGUCGCUCUGCUGUAACUGAAACAAGAUUAAGAAGACAGUGGUUUGAUAUAUAUGGAACAAAGUGUGUCAAAGCAAAUGCAGAUCAAUAUGUAAUGCUUUUUCAGAGACAUACAACAUCAAACAGACGCAUUCGGUCAUGAAAUGAGUCUUUUGUCUUGCAAGGUGUAAAUUCUAUUCAUUUUGGCAUCAAUUCAUGAACCAUUUAGCCUGAAAAUUGUUGCUGUUUGGCCAGCUGUGCCAUCUGCUCAACUUCCUUUCAAUAGUUCAUGAGUUGUGUCUAACGAGGGAUAAUAAUACAUGCAUGACACAGUAUGGCACCAGUGGGACCUGAAGAACCUAAUUGUCAAAUGAUGGCAUCAUUCUAACAACUUAGUGGAUCCACCAUCAUUUGGCCUCGGGCAGGAUUCGACUGAUUCUAUGUAAUGCACAUCAAAGAAGAAAAAAGAAGAGGAUAUGAAAUGAAGUUAUAAUGGAGGUGGUUGACCUUUCCUUUUCACCAACUUUAAGACUAGAGGCCAAUAAUAUCUUAACCUAGACUAAGUUUUCCCUGCAAUUUGAUCUUACUUGACUUGACUAUAUCUGUACUUGCAGCAAAUUUGCAGAUAGCACAUAGGCUAUUUACGUGGAGGUUCAAAUUUCAAAAUCAAGAAUCUCCCUGUAAAUACGAAAGAUUGGAAAUCAUAGUAUUACACUAGUCUAGUUACAUUCUCUAAGACCAAGCUCAUUCAACUAGAUGUUUGAGCUUACUAGAGAUAAUCUGUUUGGAGAUACCUGUCUUCAUGGAUGAUCACUGAAGCAUCACAAGCCAGCUUAAAUAAUCAGAUGAAAAGAUUUAAUGUGCCUAGACCGUUGUGCUAAACAUGUUAAGGCACCUGAUAAAUAAACAAGACAAAAGAUUUAGGAUAUGAGAGGAAAAGAAAAUUCAUUUCUCUCUGCAUGGUUUAGAUGGGCAUGAGGAAUAAGUAGAAAGAAAUAAGGGCCCUUAAAAAAUCUUCAUGGCACUACUUUUCAUGUCAAUGAUCCACAAGAUGAGCUUAAAGAUGAAACUGACUUUUAGAUGUUUGUGUAUGUCUGAUAGCACCUCACAUCACAAUGUACAUUAAAAUCCUUUGCAUUGACUACUCCAGGCCCCCUGUUACAAGAAAGAUGUGGAUUAUUGACCAAAGUGGGGCACUUCUUCAACAAAUCCAAAGAAAAAAAAAAGAUAGAAAUUACUUAUGAAUUUUACAUCUUAACUAUCACUCUUUGAAACAAAAUGUAGAUUUUGCUAAUAUGAUUGCACCAAGAAACUUUAGGAUGGAGCUUUGAUGCAAAUCACACUCGAGAGUGGAUUUGAGAAUUGUAAAAGAAGCAAGAAAUGUCAUGCAUGUUUUAGGGGUUAACUACAGAAGGAGCAUAGAAGAAAAAUGUUGGCAAAAUGAAGCACAGUGGUAGCCACAGAUCACAGGAACUUGUAAUGGUCCUAAUUGUCUCAAAUGGACUGUUUGAGAUUGAAUUAUGGACUUAUUAGGCACAAUCCAACCAACCUUUUUUAAAAUUUUUACAAUGAAGCCCCUCAAAAAAUUCUCUCUGUUUGUUGAACAUUAGUGAAAUGAAAUAUUAAGACAUGCUGAUUGAUACUUAUUACAUCCAGGAUCAGUUUGUCGGAUAUUAUAAUCCAGACCUUAUCAAGAAAGGAAACUUAAAUUAUUAGGUGUAUUUUAAUUUAAUGCUUGGCAUCAUAUAAAUGAGGUUUUAGUUUUUCAUGAUCGAAAACCAGAAAGGUUUUUAUUCAACAAGCCUGUUUCAACUUUCUAGAGCAGUUUCCUUGCAUCUCUUGAUGAGCACCAAAAGAACAGCCUAUCAUGUCCUAUAGCAUCCGAAUUCCUAAAUAUGUCAAGGGUAAUACAUGGCAAACACUUCAUCGUACCCUUUUGGAUCCAAACACAUGAGUGGUGUCUUCCAAGUCCCAGCUGAUACUUUAAUCUCUGCUUGCCAUACUGUUUACACAGAAAUCAG
rnacentral:lncRNA from 1 species